rnacentral:rRNA from 1 species
UACGUAGGGUGCGAGCGUUAUUCGGAAUUACUGGGCGUAAAGCGUGCGCAGGCGGCUAUGCAAGACAGAUGUGAAAUCCCCGGGCUCAACCUGGGAACUGCAUUUGUGACUGCAUGGCUAGAGUACGGUAGAGGGGGAUGGAAUUCCGCGUGUAGCAGUGAAAUGCGUAGAUAUGCGGAGGAACACCGAUGGCGAAGGCAAUCCCCUGGACCUGUACUGACGCUCAUGCACGAAAGCGUGGGGAGCAAACAGG